rnacentral:rRNA from 1 species
GAUGAACGCUGGCGGCGUGCCUAAUACAUGCCAGUCGAGCGAACAGACGAGGAGCUUGCUCCUCUGACGUUAGCGGCGGACGGGUGAGUAACACGUGGAUAACCUACCUAUAAGACUGGGAUAACUUCGGGAAACCGGAGCUAAUACCGGAUAAUAUAUUGAACCGCAUGGUUCAAUAGUGAAAGACGGUUUUGCUGUCACUUAUAGAUGGAUCCGCGCCGCAUUAGCUAGUUGGUAAGGUAACGGCUUACCAAGGCAACGAUGCGUAGCCGACCUGAGAGGGUGAUCGGCCACACUGGAACUGAGACACGGUCCAGACUCCUACGGGAGGCAGCAGUAGGGAAUCUACCGCAAUGGGCGAAAGCCUGACGGAGCAACGCCGCGUGAGUGAUGAAGGUCUUCGGAUCGUAAAACUCUGUUAUUAGGGAAGAACAAAUGUGUAAGUAACUAUGCACGUCUUGACGGUACCUAAUCAGAAAGCCACGGCUAACUACGU